rnacentral:rRNA from 1 species
AACGAACGCUGGCGGCAUGCCUAACACAUGCAAGUCGAACGAGACCUUCGGGUCUAGUGGCGCACGGGUGCGUAACGCGUGGGAACCUGCCCUUAGGUUCGGAAUAACUCCCCGAAAGGGGUGCUAAUACCGGAUAAUGUCUUCGGACCAAAGAUUUAUCGCCUUUGGAUGGGCCCGCGUUGGAUUAGCUAGUUGGUAGGGUAAAAGCCUACCAAGGCGACGAUCCAUAGCUGGUCUGAGAGGAUGAUCAGCCACACUGGGACUGAGACACGGCCCAGACUCCUACGGGAGGCGGCAGUGGGUAAUAUUGGACAAUGGGCGAAAGCCUGAUCCAGCAAUGCCGCGUGAGUGAUGAAGGCCUUAGGGUUGUAAAGCUCUUUUACCCGGGAUGAUAAUGACAGUACCGGGAGAAUAAGCUCCGGCUAACUCCGUG